rnacentral:rRNA from 1 species
UACAGAGGGGGCAAGCGUUGUUCGGAAUUACUGGGCGUAAAGGGCGCGUAGGCGGCCUGCUAAGUCGAACGUGAAAUCCCCGGGCUCAACCCGGGAACUGCGUCCGAUACUGGUAGGCUUGAAUUCGGGAGAGGGAUGCGGAAUUCCAGGUGUAGCGGUGAAAUGCGUAGAUAUCAAGAGGAACACCAGUGGCGAAGGCGAGUCCCUGGACGAUACCUGACACUGAGGCACGAAAGCUAGGGGAGCAAACAGG